rnacentral:rRNA from 1 species
CCUACGGGGGGCAGCAGUGAGGAAUAUUGGUCAAUGGGCGAGAGCCUGAACCAGCCAAGUCGCGUGAGGGAGUACUGCCCUAUGGGUUGUAAACCUCUUUUGUCGGGGAGCAAAAGCCGGACGUGUCCGGCUGUGAGAGUACCCGAAGAAAAAGCAUCGGCUAACUCCGUGCCAGCAGCCGCGGUAAUACGGAGGAUGCGAGCGUUAUCCGGAUUUAUUGGGUUUAAAGGGUGCGCAGGCGGAUUUUUAAGUCAGCGGUAAAAUCGUGGGGCUCAACCCCAUCCAGCCGUUGAAACUGGCGAUCUAGAGUGUGCGAGAGGUAUGCGGAAUGCGUGGUGUAGCGGUGAAAUGCAUAGAUAUCACGCAGAACCCCGAUUGCGAAGGCAGCAUACCGGUGCACAACUGACGCUCAGGCACGAAAGCGUGGGUAUCGAACAGGAUUAGAUACCCGGGUAGUC